UGCCCUAAGUAACCAGGUUCUCGUAACCCGAGUCCCCAAAGUCAAACGGGGCCGGAAGCCAGCACGCCUGCCCUGUGGCCCUCCUUCCUCCUUCAUUCCCUCACUGCCCCUGCCUCUCCCUCAAACACUCACACAGUCCAUCCCUUCGGCCACUCCUAAGGCGGGGAGGACCUUGGCCUCAGGGCCUUGGCCUUCUCCUUGCCCUCCCUGGGGCCAUGGCCCUGGAUCUAGGCAGAGGUGGAGGCUCCCACUCAGCCCUCUUCAGCCGCGGGGGGCCGUCCCCCACCAUCACUGACCACAGUUACCACGUUGAUCCCAAUGUUGACGAGAACUACGAGGCCCAGCAGCAGAAGCAGUACGUCUUCUGGAUCCUGGAGGUGUCCCUGGGGCCUGCUUAAGUCACCACCUGAUUCCUGAUUUGAAAACAUGGUCGCUAUAGUUGUAGGACAGUCUUCACAGGGACUGAGUCGUCCAUAAAGGAUUUCCUCCAUGUCAUUGUUCUCUUGAGACAUCAAGGCACCUUGUGCAGUUGGUCCCCUCCACCUGUGCCUACUUGGGACCAGCAGCUAGGGUGACAGCAAGAGUCCCCUCCGGGGUCACCGCACUGUGCCAUUCCCUCCCCGUCCUUCCCGUUUCCCUGUCAUAAUUCCUCUAGUACCUACCCUCCCCACCCCUUCCUGGCCAAGGAUUGCAGCCCUAUGCCGUGUGGUCACCGAGCCCAUUGGCCCCCUCGCUUCGGAGCAAGACUGACUUCCCGCUCGCCCCGGGUUGCUUGCCUCUGCCGGGGACCACCCCUGACCAUGCUCUCUUCCCUUCCCAACCAACUGCCCUCCCACGGACCUAGCCUUCCAAGCUGGAAACCUGUUAGCUCCCCCCUUAAGAAAACCUCAUGAAACGCACAAAGCACAAAAUAGAUGUAAUUGUGGAUAGGACAAAAGGAGCCUUCGUUUUGAAGCAGGUUCAUCACUGGGGGCCGUGGAAGUGGUGCCCUGGGGGCGAGUCAUUUGUCCGCACGGCGGGUGAACAGCUGGACAGAAAUACACCAACAGCCAGCAGGUGUUUCCCUCCGAGCCGCCGAACACAUAGUAGGUGCUCGAUACAUACUCACUGAAUGGAAUCAACUUAAAAUGAUCAACAAUGGGGGCGGAAUGAAAGCGAAGGAAGCAGCAGGCUGGUUCACAGAAGGCCUGCCUGGCCACGUUCCAGGAACGCAUCUGCUACAGAAGGUGGGGUCCAGUUCCUUCGGCCUGGGCGCACCCCCGGGGCUUCUGGUUCCCGAGCCCUCGAGCGGCCGCGUGAGUGUGUCCAUGUGCCCACGUGGGUGGGUGUGCGGGCGCGAGGCCGGCUCCCUGGGAGGAGGGUAGGGCCUGAUGUUCCCGCUGCGUGUGGCUGGCAUGCUCCCGAUGACUUCACAUGGCAGACCGAGGCAGGGGGAGUCUGAGGGGCCAGGCUGACUCUGGAAUGCAGUCUCCCUGCGGGAGCAGAGCCCAGAGCCUCUGAGGCCGCGCGGGGAC